CAUCCUGGGGCUGGAGUCGGUCCCAAGGGUUGGGCUGUUCGCCCAUUAAAGCGGUACGCGAGCUGGGUUUAGAACGUCGUGAGACAGUUCGGUCCCUAUCCGCCGUGGGCGCAGGAGACUUGAGGAGGGUUGACCCUAGUACGAGAGGACCGGGUUGAACGGCCCGCUAGUGUACCGGUUGUCACGCCAGUGGCAGCGCCGGGUAGCCAUGGCCGGUUUGGAUAAGCGCUGAAAGCAUCUAAGUGCGAAGCCAACUCCAAGAUAAGGUUUCCCACCGGGUUAACCGGGUAAGGGCCCUGCUAGACCAGCAGGUUGAUAGGCCGGAGGUGUAAGAGGAGCAAUCCUUUGAGCUGACCGGUACUAAUAGCCCGAGGGCUUGUUCACCUAUAACUCACUCU
rnacentral:rRNA from 1 species